rnacentral:rRNA from 1 species
CCCUUAGACGUUCUGGGCCGCACGCGCGCUACACUGACACUGGCAACGAGCUUUCCUUUACCGAAAGGUAUGGGUAAUCUUUUGAAACUGUGUCGUGCUGGGGAUAGAUCCUUGCAAUUUUUGAUCUUAAACGAGGAAUUCCUAGUAAGCGCGAGUCAUCAACUCGCGUUGAUUACGUCCCUGCCCUUUGUACACACCGCCCGUCGCUACUACCGAUUGAAUGGCUUAGUGAGGCCUCAGGAUCCGCGCUUAAUGUGUGGAGAAUUUGGACAAACUACGUCAUUUAGAGGAAGUAAAAGUCGUAACA